UCUUAGCCCCGAUAGAAGUGGAAAUCCUUUUAUGCCGGGGUUCGGCAUAUAAGAUUGAAACGGAUAGCGGGAACCAUC
rnacentral:sRNA from 1 species